UCGGUGUCUUUUCACAAAAUAACUCUCGGACUUCAGAAACAAAAUUUCUUCCGUUCCGAGACUGCUGGACAGAGACAUUAUGGGAUACGACUAAGAACAGCGAAUAUAUACAAGAAAGAACACACAACAGACCCAUCUAGAACAGUCUCAACACCUGCAUUAUGAAUAGAAGCAAUACCAGCAGACAGAUAACAAAUUCUCAAAAUAUGGAAUAAAGCACAGCAUGCACUAACAUGAUAUUUAGGCCACUAUCAGGCUACUCCAAUACAUUCUCGUGGUUUUGUACGCCACAAAUUUAAGUCGCAAACAAAGCCUUUGGACCGGGCUCUAAGAAUUCUCCAUGACAUUAUUUUAACCUCCAAUACAAGCUUAGCUAUUAAUUUUGGUUAACAAGUAAGAAUUAGAAGUCUGAUUAUUUUCCAAGCCUAUAAAAGGCAUGCUUGAGCCAUUGUUGUAAUCAAUCAAUUUUGUGUAUCAAAUAUAGUGUUGAAGUUGAAAUACUAUGAAAUGGUAGAAAAGAAAAAGAAUCAAACUCGAACCAAUUUUUAACACUAUAUUUGAUUCAAGGAUCCUUUUCCCAUAGAUGUUAAAUAAAAAUUCAAGGAUUUGGUCAUGUCUUACAAAAGAACUUAAUCGCAGGAUAACAAUGGGCCAGAGGAAUUGUAUUUGAAUUGAAUAAAUCCAAAUAAAAAAAAUAUAAAAUUAAAGAAACCAAGUAAUUGAAGGCGUGAUUGAUUGACCUGGUAAGCAUUUGUGGUCUUGGCCAAACUUCCAGAAUCUUCUUUCACGGCAGUUAUCAAUCUCAAUCUCAAAUUCCGACAAAAUCGCGUUCGAACUUCGUCGACAGUAACAGUAAAGUACUUUCCCUUCAAUACUAAUCUAAUCUAAUCUCAAAUUCCGACACUUGUUAUUAAUUUUUAAAUCAAAAUUAUAGAAACUCUUGAAUGAAUGAAUAGAUGAUGAAGGAUGCAAAAGAGAGAGAUGCACAUCGUCAAGCCUGGAAAAAAUGAACGUGGAAACUAUUAUUGUGAUUUUAGAUUUUUUUAAAUCAAAAAUAUAUUUUAAGAGUAAAUGAUGUGACAUAAUACUAUUGGAUGAGUGUGCAAAGUGGUUUGCACUGUCUGUCCACCACAAUUAAACUCAUAUAUGUAUCCCCUGCUUUUUACUAAACACAAGUUUAUUAAAUAAAAUUCCCAACAAAGCUUUAUAUGGAUUGGAGCAGCCUCACAAUACAUGCACAUAUAACAUGAUCAAAUUGGAAUCAGUAUACACAAUAAAUUGUUUCACAAAACAAGAGAUAUCAAUUGACAAUUUUGGCAGAAUACAUAUUAAUUAAAUUAAGAACAAAUAUUCAAGUAAAUAAUAGCUAAAUUUCUUUUUACUAGUUUCUUUUAAUUAGUUUUCUCUUAAUAGACAAAAAUUCUACUAUCAUUCCAUAACAUAAUCCCUAUGUAGCAUGAAUGUAUGGGGAAAAAGCCCUUACCUCAAGCGUUUUCUUCCAAUGAUACUGACUCUCGAUAUCCUACGGUCAACCGAACGAUCGAGUGCUUAUUGCUUCUUUGAGACUAGAGGUUAUACUACAAAUUGAUGUUGGUACCGAGAGUUGAUUUCUUUAAGGACUUAGAGAAUAUUUUUAGAUGGAAGAAGAUUUAUCAACUUUCCUAAGAUGGGGAUGACCGUGUUUUGCAACUGAUAUCGAGAGGAACAAAAGGUGUAAAUAUAUAUCGAGAGUUUGACUUUCUUUUGAAAUUAAGAAUUGAAUUGUCAUAACAAUAGACUUAAUUGUAUCAAGACAAGGAAAUCAUGUGUCAUUAUUGGCUAUAAAUGGUGAGUUGUCAUGGGAGAAAAGGAAGGUAUUCAUUACCAUGUUACUGACAUU
rnacentral:lncRNA from 1 species